AGAUUGAACGCUGGCGGCAUGCCUUACACAUGCAAGUCGAACGGCAGCACGGGAGCAAUCCUGGUGGCGAGUGGCGAACGGGGUGAGUAAUAUAUCGGAACGUGCCCAGUCGUGGGGAUAACGCAGCGAAAGCUGUGCUAAUACCGC
rnacentral:rRNA from 1 species